rnacentral:rRNA from 1 species
GAUUAGGCUUUCCCUCAGAUAACGGCGUAGUGAAGCGGCAAAAGCUCAAAUUUGAAAUCUGGCUCUUUUAGAGUCCGAGUUGUAAUUUGUAGAAGAUGCUUCGAGUGUGGUUCCGGUCUAAGUUCCUUGGAACAGGACGUCAUAGAGGGUGAGAAUCCCGUAUGUGACUGGAUACCUAUGCUCAUGUGAAGCUCUUUCGACGAGUCGAGUUGUUUGGGAAUGCAGCUCAAAAUGGGUGGUAUAUUUCAUCUAAAGCUAAAUAUUGGCCAGAGACCGAUAGCGCACAAGUAGAGUGAUCGAAAGAUGAAAAGCACUUUGGAAAGAGAGUUAAACAGUACGUGAAAUUGUUGAAAGGGAAGCGCUUGCAAUCAGACUUGCACCUGAUGUUCAGCGGGGCUUCGUGCCCCGUGUACUUCAUCAGGUUCAGGCCAGCAUCGGUUUGGGUGGUUGGAUAAAGGCCUUGAGAAUGUGGCCCUCUUCGGGGGGUGUUAUAGCUCUCGGUGCAAUGCAGCCUACCUGGACCGAGGACCGCGCUUCGGCUAGGAUGCUGGCGUAAUGGUUGUAAGCGACCCGUCUUGAAACACGGACCAAGGAGUCUAACAUUUAUGCGAGUGUUUGGGUGUUAAACCCAUACGCGUAAUGAAAGUGAACGGAGGUGAGAGCCCUUUAAGGUGCAUCAUCGACCGAUCCUGAUGUCUUCGGAUGGAUUUGAGUAAGAGCAUAACUGUUGGGACCCGAAAGAUGGUGAACUAUGCGUGAAUAGGGUGAAGCCAGAGGAAACUCUGGUGGAGGCUCGCAGCGGUUCUGACGUGCAAAUCGAUCGUCAAAUUUGCGUAUAGGGGCGAAAGACUAAUCGAACCAUCUAGUAGCUGGCUUCCUGCCGAAGU